rnacentral:rRNA from 1 species
GUAGGUGGCAAGCGUUGUCCGGGAAUUAUUGGGCGUAAAGCGCGCGCAGGCGGUUCUUUAAGUCUGAUGUGAAAGCCCACGGGCUCAACCGUGGAGGGUCAUUGGAAACUGGAGAACUUGAGUACAGAAGAGGAAAGCGGAAUUCCACGUGUAGCGGUGAAAUGCGUGGAGAUGUGGAGGAACACCAGUGGCGAAGGCGGCUUUCUGGUCUGUAACUGACGCUGAGGCGCGAAAGCGUGGGGAGCAAACAGGAUUAGAUACCCUGGUAGUCCACGCCGUAAACGAUGAGUGCUAAGUGUUAGGGGGUUUCCGCCCCUUAGUGCUGCAGCUAACGCAUUAAGCACUCCGCCUGGGGAGUACGGCCGCAAAGGCUG